AUGGGCUGCAAAUAUAAAUUAGAAAUUAUAGGUUAAAGAAUUAUGAUUUUUUGUUUGAUAUUUAUAUAUUGUUAUAACACGAUGUUGACCGGCUUUAUUCCUGGAAUUUGAUGAAAUCGACGCGGACGAUCUCUAUUUCAAACAAUACAGUGUGCCGUAAUAUGGCGAAAGCGUUACGCCAGUAUAACAACAACAACUAAAAGAACACCCUCUCCUAGCGGCUGCACCCCAUUAGCAUUCUGCAAACACACAUGCACACCAGUGCGCACACACCCUGUGCGAGUAAUUAUAGCAUUGCUACCGAAAGUGCCGCCAAGAAUCAAUGCAAAAAUAACAAUGUCCCACUUUCUGAGGCUAAAACACUGCAAUCAAUGAAGUAAUUAAGCUAUACUAUGCAAACAAACAAAUUGGCAAAGCAAACAAAUCGACGAAUAAAGUGAAAUCUACACACAUCCAUAUGUACACAAAUUAACGAGUGAGCUCUAUAUACUAACAUAUGUACAUACAUAUGUAUACCAAUCGUAUUUACUACAUGAUUCUGUAAGCAGUUAUCCUGCCAACGCGGGCGCAUGUUUCUUCCGAGGGGUCACCGGAAACAGCCGCGCAUUGGCCAAAAUUACAAUAUUUUUCUCAAAAAUUUCAGAAUUUCUUUGUAAAUAGUGUAUGUUUGUAACAAUAAAUUUUUUAAAUUCUAAUAAAAUAUUUCAUUUUUUAUAUGAGAAAAAAAUUUGAAA